rnacentral:rRNA from 1 species
CUGGCGGCUGCUACCAUGCAAGUCGAACGAAGCUCCCCGAAUUGAGUUUUCGGACAAGAGGAAGGGAUGACUUAGUGGCGGACGGGUGAGUAACGCGUGAGCAACCUGCCUCGGAGUGGGGGACAACAGUUGGAAACGACUGCUAAUACCGCAUAACGUGCAGAGGAGACAUCUCCUUUGCACCAAAGAUUUAUUGCUCUGAGAUGGGCUCACGUCUGAUUAGUUAGUUGGUAGGGUAACGGCCUACCAAGACUGCGAUCAGUAGCCGGACUGAGAGGUCGAACGGCCACAUUGGGACUGAGAUACGGCCCAGACUCCUACGGGAGGCAGCAGUGGGGAAUAUUGGGCAAUGGGCGAAAGCCUGACCCAGCAACGCCGCGUGAAGGAAGAAGGCCUUCGGGUUGUAAACUUCUUUUAUGAGGGACGAAGAAAGUGACGGUACCUCAUGAAUAAGCCACGGCUAACUACGUGCCAGCAGCCGCGGUAAUACGUAGGUGGCAAGCGUUAUCCGGAUUUACUGGGUGUAAAGGGCGCGUAGGCGGGAAUGCAAGUCAGAUGUGAAAUCUCCGGGCUCAACCCGGAAGCUGCAUUUGAAACUGUAUUUCUUGAGUGUCGGAGAGGUAGAUGGAAUUCCUAGUGUAGCGGUGAAAUGCGUAGAUAUUAGGAGGAACACCAGUGGCGAAGGCGAUCUACUGGACGAUAACUGACGCUGAGGCGCGAAAGCGUGGGGAGCAAACAGGAUUAGAUACCCUGGUAGUCCACGCUGUAACGAUGAAUACUAGGUGUGGGGGGGACUGACCCCCUCCGUGCCGCAGUUACA